rnacentral:rRNA from 1 species
UACCCGCAGCACAAGUGGUGGUCAUUAUUAUUGGGCCUAAAGCGUCCGUAGCUGGCGUGUUAGAUGCCUGGGUAAAUCGAUGCGCUCAACGCAUCGAAUUCCGGGUAGACCGGCACGCUCGAGACCGGGAGAGGCGUGGGGUACUCGGGGGGUAGGGGUAAAAUCCUGUAAUCCUCCGGGGACGACCAGUGGCGAAGGCGCCACGCUAGAACGGCUCUGACAGUGAGGGACGAAGCCCUGGGGCGCAAACCGG